AGUGAACGCUGGCGGUAGGCCUAACACAUGCAAGUCGAACGGCAGCACAGUAAGAGCUUGCUCUUACGGGUGGCGAGUGGCGGACGGGUGAGGAAUACAUCGGAAUCUACUUUUUCGUGGGGGAUAACGUAGGGAAACUUACGCUAAUACCGCAUACGCCCUACGGGUGAAAGCAGGGGAUCUUCGGACCUUGCGCGAUUGAAUGAGCCGAUGUCGGAUUAGCUAGUUGGCGGGGUAAAGGCCCACCAAGGCGACGAUCCGUAGCUGGUCUGAGAGGAUGAUCAGCCACACUGGAACUGAGACACGGUCCAGACUCCUACGGGAGGCAGCAGUGGGGAAUAUUGGACAAUGGGCGCAAGCCUGAUCCAGCCAUACCGCGUGGGUGAAGAAGGCCUUCGGGUUGUAAAGCCCUUUUGUUGGGGAAGAAAAGCAGCAGGUUAAUACCCCGCUGUUUUGACGGUACCCAAAGAAUAAGCACCGGCUAACUUCGUG
rnacentral:rRNA from 1 species